rnacentral:rRNA from 1 species
CUUGGUGCUUGCACUGGGUGGAUGAGUGGCGAACGGGUGAGUAAUACGUGAGUAACCUGCCCUUGACUCUGGGAUAAGCCUGGGAAACUGGGUCUAAUACUGGAUAUGACCUCCUGUCGCAUGGUGGGGGGUGGAAAGGGUUUGUACUGGUUGUGGAUGGGCUCACGGCCUAUCAGCUUGUUGGUGGGGUAAUGGCCUACCAAGGCGACGACGGGUAGCCGGCCUGAGAGGGUGACCGGCCACACUGGGACUGAGACACGGCCCAGACUCCUACGGGAGGCAGCAGUGGGGAAUAUUGCACAAUGGGCGCAAGCCUGAUGCAGCGACGCCGCGUGAGGGAUGACGGCCUUCGGGUUGUAAACCUCUUUCAGCACGGAAGAAGCGAAAGUGACGGUACGUGCAGAAGAAGCGCCGGCUAACUACGUGCCAGCAGCCGCGGUAAUACGUAGGGCGCAAGCGUUGUCCGGAAUUAUUGGGCGUAAAGAGCUCGUAGGCGGUUUGUCGCGUCUGCUGUGAAAGCCCGGGGCUUAACCCCGGGUGUGCAGUGGGUACGGGCAGACUUGAGUGCAGUAGGGGAGACUGGAACUCCUGGUGUAGCGGUGAAAUGCGCAGAUAUCAGGAAGAACACCGAUGGCGAAGGCAGGUCUCUGGGCUGUUACUGACGCUGAGGAGCGAAAGCAUGGGGAGCGAACAGGAUUAGAUACCCUGGUAGUCCAUGCCGUAAACGUUGGGCACUAGGUGUGG